rnacentral:rRNA from 1 species
CCUACGGGUGGCAGCAGUGAGGAAUAUUGGUCAAUGGGCGCGAGCCUGAACCAGCCAAGUCGCGUGAGGGAAGACGGUCCUAUGGAUUGUAAACCUCUUUUGUCGGGGAGCAAAAGACGCCACGCGUGGCGUUCCGAGAGUACCCGAAGAAAAAGCAUCGGCUAACUCCGUGCCAGCAGCCGCGGUAAUACGGAGGAUGCGAGCGUUAUCCGGAUUUAUUGGGUUUAAAGGGUGCGCAGGCGGGAGAUCAAGUCAGCGGUAAAAUGUCGGGGCUCAACCCCGGCCGGCCGUUGAAACUGGUUUUCUAGAGUUGGAGAGAAGUAUGCGGAAUUCGUGGUGUAGCGGUGAAAUGCAUAGAUAUCACGAAGAACUCCGAUUGCGAAGGCAGCAUACCGGCUCCAUACUGACGCUGAGGCACGAAAGCGUGGGGAUCGAACAGGAUUAGAUACCCUAGUAGUC